rnacentral:rRNA from 1 species
GACGAACCGUGCGAACGUUAUUCGGAAUCACUGGGCUUAAAGCGCGUGUAGGCGGCCCGGCGCGUCGGAUGCUGAAAUCCCCCGGCUCAACCGGGGAAGGGCGCCGAUACGGCCGGGCUGGAGGGGGGUAGGGGGCGCUGGAACUCACGGUGGAGCGGUGAAAUGCGUUGAGAUCGUGAGGAACGCCCGCGGCGAAAGCGAGCGCCUGGACCCGUUCGACGCUGAGACGCGAAAGCCAGGG